rnacentral:rRNA from 1 species
GAUGAACGCUGGCGGCGUGCCUAAUACAUGCAAGUCGAGCGAACGGACGAGAAGCUUGCUUCUCUGAUGUUAGCGGCGGACGGGUGAGUAACACGUGGAUAACCUACCUAUAAGACUGGGAUAACUUCGGGAAACCGGAGCUAAUACCGGAUAAUAUUUUGAACCGCAUGGUUCAAAAGUGAAAGACGGUCUUGCUGUCACUUAUAGAUGGAUCCGCGCUGCAUUAGCUAGUUGGUAAGGUAACGGCUUACCAAGGCAACGAUGCAUAGCCGACCUGAGAGGGGAAUAGGCCACACUGGAACUGGAACCGGGUCCAGACCCCUACGGGAGGCAGCAGUAGGGAAUCUUCCGAAAUGGGCGAAAGCCUAACGGAGCAACGCCGGGUGGGGGAUGAAGGUCUUCGGAUCGUAAAACUUUGUUAUUAGGGAAGAAAAUAUGUGAAAGUAACUGUGCACAUCUUGACGGUACCUAACCAAAAAGCCCCGGCAAACUACGU